rnacentral:rRNA from 1 species
CGGUGCAUAUCCAAAAGCGGAGGAAAAGAAACCAACAGGGAUUGCCUCAGUAACGGCGAGUGAAGCGGCAAAAGCUCAAAUUUGAAAUCUAGCACCUUCGGUGUUUGAGUUGUAAUUUGAAGAUGGUAACCUUGGGUUUGGCUCUUGUCUAUGUUCCUUGGAACAGGACGUCAUAGAGGGUGAGAAUCCCGUCUGAUGAGAUGCCCAUUCCUAUGUAAGGUGCUAUCGAAGAGUCGAGUUGUUUGGGAAUGCAGCUCUAAGUGGGUGGUAAAUUCCAUCUAAAGCUAAAUAUUGGCGAGAGACCGAUAGCGAACAAGUACAGUGAUGGAAAGAUGAAAAGAACUUUGAAAAGAGAGUGAAAAAGUACGUGAAAUUGUUGAAAGGGAAGGGCAUUAGAUCAGACUUGGUGUUUUACGAUUAUCUUCUCUUCUUGAGUUGUGCACUCGUAUUUCACUGGGCCAGCAUCGAUUCGGAUGGCAAGAUAAUGGCAGUUGAAUGUGGCUUCACUUCGGUGGAGUGUUAUAGCUUCUGCUGAUAUUGCCUGUCUGGAUCGAGGGCUGCGUCUUUGACUAGGAUGCUGCGUAUACUGAGG